GACGAACGCUGGCGGCGUGCUUAACACAUGCAAGUCGAACGGAAAGGCCCUGCUUUUGUGGGGUUCUCGAGUGGCGAACGGGUGAGUAACACGUGAGUAACCUGCCCUUGACUUUGGGAUAACUUCAGGAAACUGGGGCUCAUACCGGAUAUGAGCUCCUGCUGCAUGGUGGUGGUUGGAAAGUUUCGGCGGUUGGGGAUGGACUCGCGGCUUAUCAGCUUGUUGGUGGGGUAGUGGAUUACCAAGGCUUUGACGGGUAGGCGGCCUGAGAGGGUGAACGGCCACAUUGGGACUGAGAUACGGCCCAGACUCCUACGGGAGGCAGCAGUGGGGAAUAUUGCACAAUGGGCGGAAGUCUGAUGCAGAAACGCCGCGUGCGGGAUGACGGCCUUCGGGUUGUAAACCGCUUUCGCCGGUGCCGAAGAGUGAGUGACGGUAAUGGGUAAAGAAGCACCGGCUAACUACGUG
rnacentral:rRNA from 1 species